AGUGAACGCUGGCGGUAGGCCUAACACAUGCAAGUCGAACGGCAGCACAGUAAGAGCUUGCUCUUACGGGUGGCGAGUGGCGGACGGGUGAGGAAUACAUCGGAAUCUACUUUUUCGUGGGGGAUAACGUAGGGAAACUUACGCUAAUACCGCAUACGACCUACGGGUGAAAGCAGGGGAUCUUCGGACCUUGCGCGAUUGAAUGAGCCGAUGUCGGAUUAGCUAGUUGGCGGGGUAAAGGCGCACCAAGGCGACGAUCCGUAGCGGGUCUGAGAGGAUGAUCCGGCACAUUGGAACUGAGACACGGUCCAGACUCCGACGGGAGGCCGCAGUGGGGAAUAUUGGACAAGGGGGGAAAGCCUGAUCCAGCCAUACCGCGUAGGUGAAGAAGGCCUUCUGGUUGUAAAGCCAUUUUGUUGGGAAAGAAAAGCAGCAGUUUAAUCCCCCGCUGUUCUGACGGUACCCAAAGAAUAAGCACCGGCUAACUUCGUG
rnacentral:rRNA from 1 species